rnacentral:rRNA from 1 species
CAGUAGCCACGGGAAUACGAAGGGUGCAAGCGUUACUCGGAAUUACUGGGCGUAAAGCGUGCGUAGGUGGUGGUUUAAGUCCGUUGUGAAAGCCCUGGGCUCAACCUGGGAACUGCAUCCAAAACUGGUGAGCUAGAGUACGGUAGAGGGUAGUGGAAUUUCCUGUGUAGCGGUGAAAUGCGUAGAUAUAGGAAGGAACACCAGUGGCGAAGGCGACUACCUGGACUGAUACUGACACUGAGGUGCGAAAGCGUGGGGAGCAAACAGGAUUAGAUACCCCGGUAGUCCCUGUCUCUUAUAA